CAGGAGGAUGAGACGGUUCCUGUGAGCCUCAGUCAGGAGGUUUUAAAAAAGAUGGAGGAAAAACAAAGUCUGAUCCAGAGGACCAAUGAUAAAAUCCGCUCAAAUCGCCGGAAAAUGCGGAUCCUAGACCUCCAAAACCAACAGCUGGA